CCCUUAGAUGUUCUGGGCCGCACGCGCGCUACACUGAUGCAUUCAACGAGCCUAUCCUUGACCGACAGGUCCGGGUAAUCUUUGAAUCUGCAUCGUGACGGGGAUAGAUUAUUGCAAUUAUUAAUCUUCAACGAGGAAUGCCUAGUAGGCGCAAGUCAUCAGCUCGCGUCGAUUACGUCCCUGCCCUUUGUACACACCGCCCGUCGCUCCUACCGAUUGGGUGUGCUGGUGAAAUGUUCGGAUCGGCCGUUUGUCGCGGUUUCCGCGGCUCGUGGCUGAGAAGUUCAUUAAACCCUCCCACCUAGAGGAAGGAGAAGUCGUAACA
rnacentral:rRNA from 1 species